rnacentral:rRNA from 1 species
UACGAAGGGGCCUAGCGUUGUUCGGAAUUACUGGGCGUAAAGCGCGCGCAGGCGGCUAUCCAAGUCAGUGGUGAAAGCCCGGAGCUCGACUCCGGAACUGCCAUUGAAACUGUUUAGCUGGAGUAUGAGAGAGGUGAGUGGAAUUCCCAGUGUAGAGGUGAAAUUCGUAGAUAUUGGGAAGAACACCGGUGGCGAAGGCGGCUCACUGGCCCGAUACUGACGCUGAUGCACGAAAGCGUGGGGAGCAAACAGG